rnacentral:lncRNA from 1 species
GUCAUAAACCUUGUGUUAAAAUUUCAUAGAUUCUAUUUACUUAUACUACAGUUAUAGUGCGAAAACCAAAUGUCUUCGGACGACGACGCAGCCAACGUGAUACCAAUAUACGAACUAUUAAAUUUAGAUUUUUAACUGAUUCUGCUUUCAUAUAUGCAACUUAAACAUCAAAAUUAAGCAAAAGGGAGUUCAAUUUCAAGUGCAUUUCUAUUUAAUAAAUAUUAUGUCUGCUCACUUUCAUAAAAAAAGUUGUUUACUCAUUU